UGUGACAAUGUAGAUGAGACCAUGUAGGGGUGACCAUGUAGGUGAGACCAUGUAGGUGUGACCAUGUAGGUGAGACCAUGUAGGUGUGACCAUGUAGGUGUGACCAUGUAGGUGUGACCAUGUAGAUGAGACCAUGUAGGUGUGACCAUGUAUGCGAGGCCAUGUAGAUGAGACCAUGUAGGUGUGACCAUGUAGGUGUGACCAUGUAGGUGAGACCAUGUAGGUGAGACCAUGUAGAUGAGACAAUGUAGGUGAGACCAUUUAGGUGAGACCAGGUAGGUGUGACCAUGUAGAUGUGACCAUGUAGAUGAGACCAUGUAGGUGUGACCAUGUAGGUGUGACCAUGUAGAUGUGACCAUGUAGAUGAGACCAUGUAGGUGAGACCAUGUAGGUGAGACCAUGUAGGUGAGACCAUGUAGGUGAGACCAUGUAGGUGAGACCAUGUAGGUGAGACCAUGUAGGUGAGACCAUGUAGAUGAGACCAUGUAGGUGAGACCAUGUAGGUGUGACCAUGUAGGUGUGACCAUGUAGAUGAGACCAUGUAGGUGAGACCAUGUAGGUGAGACCAUGUAGGUGUGACCAUGUAGGUGAGACCAUGUAGGUGUGACCAUGUAGGUGAGACCAUGUAGGUGAGACCAUGUAGAUGUGACCAUGUAGGUGAGACCAUGUAGAUGAGACCAUGUAGGUGAGACCAUGUAGGUGUGACCAUGUAUGCGAGACCAUGUAGAUGAGACCGUGUAGGUGAGACCAUGAAGGUGUGACCAUGUAGAUGUGACCAUGUAGAUGAGACCAUGUAGAUGAGACCGUGUAGGUGUGACCAUGUAGGUGAGACCAUGUAGAUGUGACCAUGUAGGUGAGACCAUGUAGAUGAGACCAUGUAGGUGAGACCAUGUAGGUGUGACCAUGUAGGUGAGACCAUGUAUGUGAGACCAUGUAGAUGAGACCAUGUAGGUGAGACCAUGUAGGUGAGACCAUGUAGAUGUGACCAUGUAGGUGUGACCAUGUAGGUGUGACCAUGUAGGUGUGACCAUGUAUGCGAGACCAUGUAGAUGAGACCAUGUAGGUGUGACCAUGUAGGUGAGACCAUGUAGAUGUGACCAUGUAUGAGAGACCAUGUAGAUGAGACCAUGUAGGUGAGACCAUGUAGGUGUGACCAUGUAGUCGAGACCAUGUAUGCGAGACUAUGUAGGUGUCAUUAUGUAGGUGAGGCCAUGUAGGCGAGACCUCUUCACCAGUGCUGUCCAAGAUGUCUCCAGACACUGAACAUGAGCAAGAUGAAGACCAGAGUUCGGCUGGGUGUGAUGGGAGACACUGCACCAUUACAAGGUCAACAAGUAUAUAACAAAAACACAACGAUGAUCAGAAUGGGUUUUUUAUCAUCCACUGUACAGAAACACAGACAACGAAGGAUGGUGAAAUGAAAGCAAAGUGCCAUGUGAGUUCAAGUUGAUCUUGUGCAGAUACACACUGAUGUGAUACUGACUACAAAAUUAAUGAUGUCCUUAUCUUGACACUUUACA